rnacentral:sRNA from 1 species
AAUGCCGUGGCGCGAACUUGAGACUGCAGAGGCGCGCCCGGCGGAUCUGAGUGUGUUGCCCGGGCAGCAGCGCGCGGGACCAACGCGAGGAGCAGCUGACAGACGAAGAAAAGUGCUGGACUAGAAGGGAGAAUUCUGACGCCAAUAUGCAGCGGAGUAUCAUGUCAUUUUUCCACCCCAAGAAAGAGAGUAAAGUGAAGAAGCCUGAGAAGGAGGCAUCCAACAGCAGCAGAGAGACGGAGCCGCCUCCAAAGGCGGCACUGAAGGAGUGGAAUGGAGUGGUGUCCGAGAGUGACUCUCCAGUGAAGAGGCCAGGGAGGAAGAAGCAGAGACCACGAAAGAAAGCCUCACAGAGGCUGAAGUGGCAACAGAGAAGGAAGGAGAAGACGGGGACCAGCCCACCACGCCUCCCAAGCCCCUGAAGACCUCCAAAGCAGAGACCCCGACGGAAAGCGUUUCAGAGCCUGAGGUGGCCACAAAGCAGGAACUGCAGGAGGAGGAGGAGCAGACCAAGCCUCCCCCGAGAGCUCCCAAGACGCUCAGCAGCUUCUUCACCCCCCGGAAGCCAGC